GUGAUAGAAAAGGGGGUUGUUUUGAAUUUCUGAUGUGUUUUCUUUAUUUAUUAGUUCGUUAUAGUGUUAGUGUUUAACUAUGUCACUGUCUAAUUAUGCCAGUGGACUUAGUAUUGAGGCCAAAACACGUUAUUUGGAAAAGUUCUCAGUGACUACGACUUGAGUGUCCUUCGUGUCUGUUACCCUCAGAUUCUGCCUCCUGAAAUUUACAACAUUUUAUGGGAUAAAAUUCUUUGUGCCUGUUACCAUACACUACUUGACGGAUUUUCCGCUGUAAGGAAAUGCACGAACGAAGGUCGUGCACUAAUGCAGUUAGACUUCAGGCAUUUUCAAGUCAAAGUGGAAAGCUUGACACGUCUAAGACCUCUUCCUGACCCACAUAUUGUCGAAACAUACAUAAAGGCAUAUUAUUUACCUGAAAAUUCUUUGGAAAAAUGGAUUCAAGAACAAACGGAAUAUACUCACUAGGCAGAUGAUGAAUCUUCUUCAAUGCGUAAGUCAAGGCAGUAAAAAGAUUCGGCUGAACUUAACUUCCUUCAUGGAAGAUUUAGAUUUGAAUCGUCGAUAAAGCUCUUUGUUAUGAUUCAAGUGAUGAAAUUUUUGUAAAUUGAGAAAUAUACAUGACAUUCCAUUA
rnacentral:misc_RNA from 1 species